CAGCUUGGAAAGCAUUCAGUAGAACGUUCGGAUGUCACUCCCCAGAACACUGGUGUGCUGGCCUGCAGAUGUGAGCAAGCUUUAAAAAGGAGAGUGACUCAUGAAACAUCGCUUCGAGGGAAAAGACCCACAUACGACCAGUACGAGCACUUUAAACUAAGCAUCUAAGACAGCAGAAGAAAAAAUCAGAAGGAAACAAUGGAGAAGUAUAAAGAGAGACCACACACCUAACUCCUUCGACAGCUCUGGUACCGUCCCAGAGGUCACUGGAUGUGAUUUUACUUCUGCAAUAUCCCACGUUCCUGCAUUCUAAAGAAGGAAACCAACAGUAACCCAAAGUGUGAUGUCAUGUUGAGAGCUGGCAACUGCAGUUUCAGCCUGACACUCCCAAUCCUUUUACAGCCUUUCCAUGUUCUCAUCAUCCCAAGCCUGCAGCUACUUUUAUUGCUGGAGAAGAAUCAAGCAAAGGAGAAAUGAUCUCCUAGGGACAGAAUCCAGCCAAGUUGCUAUUUGCACCUUCUCAGCCCUUCCAAUUGCAUAUCAUACCAGCACAGCAUUUCUCUGGACUUAAUUCCUCACUCAUCUGGACUGAUUUGCCUUUCGUGAGCAACAGAAUGUUGUCAUACAUCAGGAUGCUGUCAUACAUCAGGUUGGAGUUUGGCCUUCUGAAGGCAGGAGAGUGAAAAAUGGUACUAAUGUCCUUCCCACACCAACCCUGUAUUCUGCAAAGGAAAGGACUCCAGCAAAGAAAGCAACUAACGUAACGGCAACCUAAGACCACGUUCUGAAUCAUCAGAGUCCUGGACUACUGCUACUGAAGCACAUUCACACAGUGUUCCCAUUUUUCUCCCACCUGAAGCCAUGGUGUACUAGAGGCUUCUCAUGGAUGCCUGUGAAGCUGAGGACCUGCUAAGCUUGCAUAGCUUAUUGGGCUCAUCAAAGCUGUGAGUGUGUCAACAUCACUCCACCUACUUGGAGGUGCUCUGGAAUAACUGAUUCACAGGCAUUUUGCUUGCUUGGCACUCAGCCUUGUGCAGCCAGUGCUGUCUUGAGCCUUUUCAAGUAAUUCAGGCAAAAAAUGGAGUUUGCUGACAAAAGGGGGUUUGCCUAGAGCAUCUCUACUAGGAAGACAUCCAAUCUUGAUCUGAAAACAUCAAGAGACAGAGAAUCCAACGCUUCUUUUGUCUCCAUGGAGAGCUCUGUGAUGAAGUCCUUAGUACAGCUAACAUAAAGGAUUCAGUAUGAUUCAUGAAGAGAAGGGAUAACCGUGUGGACUUAGCAGAAGAUUUCUCCAUAGCAUAGGCUUUCACCAAACAUCAGACAUUUCUUCCUGGCUUGCCUCAAGGCUUCUGAGAUUUGUAAACGCUGUGGAAAGAGAGACAGAGGAAGUGCCAACACAGAGGUAACCAGGAAAAUUCUAGAGUAUGGGACUUCCGCACGUCUUCACAGCACUUGAGGAUGCAGUAAGUAAAAUUGUCCCCUCUUGGAGCAUGGCAGCCUUCUCCAGUCACCUCCCACCAAAUGAAAGCCCACUAACCUGCAGCCCCAGGUACAGGAAGAGAAGAGACUGUGAGAGAAGAAUACCUCCAUGAGGACAGGGACAAGAGGCAGCAGGCCUAAAAAAUGCUUCUGCAGACCAGCAGCCAGAGGGGCUCUUCUGGCUAAGGACAUCAACCCCUGUAAUUGCAGGAGGGAGCCCACCAGGACACACAGUCAGUGAGCAGCAGAUCUCUGUCAUGCCCUUCCAGGGAGCAGGAGCUCUCCCAAGAAAUGCAUCUCUGGAAGCGACCUCAUAGGUGGUCAUCUCCUCUUUCCUGUGUAAGAGCAGCAGCUGCAGCUCCUCUGCUCACUACUCAGCCAUCCUUGCAUCCUUGCGUGGACAGCUCUGUUGCCAUCUUCUACGGAGAGGACAGAGUGGCUGUCCUGGUCCCUGAGGGCAGGGACCCGGGCCUGGCAUUCCCCGAUGCUUUCAGCAUGGACUGAGAGCAGUGCCAGUCCUUCAAGGCAGCAAAGGGCAGAAGGCAAUGAAGUUGGACGUCCACAGUGGAACUGAGAAGAUAGAGGCCCCAGUGCUGCUGCUUCUGGCUGCAGUAGGACAGGCAGCGACCCUGGGAACGGCAGAGAUAUGCCUCUGUGGGCAGCACCUCUCCUUGCUGUGGUAUCUGUCUCCUUCAAUACCCCUGCUUCACUUUCAGAGAAGGAUCUAUCCCUACCUCCCCCAAUGCUUGUGCCAGGCUCAGGCACUCCCUGCAGCCAGAGACCUGCACAGCCAUGUGGGCACUCAGACUGGGUCACCACAGUGAGCUCAGGGAGAGGAAGGGGUUGAUCCAGAGUGGCAGCAGCCACAGGGACCUGGAGAUGCUGGCUCCUGUUGCCUGCAGGCAGCUGGCCUGUGUGCUGCUUCCUGGUCUGUCACAGCCUCCAAAUCCCACUGGAGCCAACCUCCCAGUCCCCCACAUGCAGGAACUAACAGGGUACACAAGGUGGUGAUCCUUGUCCCUACCCUUCCAUCCAGGAAUAGCUAGCAGUGCCACAGGGCAAGGAAACUCCUCAAGACUGGACUGUGAAAGCCCUAGAGUAGCUAGUAAAACCAUGACAUCAUGUCCAACCCACAGGCCGCUUGCAACCCAGCCCAGCAUGUUUUGCUGCCAACCCCUGUUCUGCACCGCAAUGGCAGCACUGAGCAGCCCUGCUUGGCCCUGCGUGUGCAGCCAUCACACCCAUCACUCACAGCAACCACACAACAGUGUGCUGUCAGUGCUGUGCAGGCUGCAACCAGGUGACGUCGCAGUGCAGUGCCAGCUAAAGUGGUGGCAAAUAAUUAUAUGCAUUUUGAUACGUUGGCUGAACAGUGUCCUGGAAAGACUGAAAAACGUGCAGCUGUGCUUUCUGUGUUGAUAAAGGAGUUUUUAGAACAGGUUUCAAGAGUGUCAAAAAAAUCAAUUUUUUAAAAAAUAUAUUUGAAACUCUAUUUUCAGUUAACAUAAAUACAUUCCUUGUGAUUUUUCAAAUGGAAUAUGUAGAGUUGCAAUCAGAUAUUCAAUGCAAAGAAAAAUGUGACCGUGUCUCUUUACCGGGUUUCUAUAAGCCCUCUCUUACGAGAUAAAGGUAUCUCACAUUUCACAACCAUUAUUGAUGUCAUCACUUUCUGGCAGCACGCACAUCUGUGAGCAACUGUUUUCAAGGAUGAAGUACAAGAAGAGUAAGAUUUCAUCAAAAAUCUCUGGUAAACACCGUUAGAGCUCACUGAGAAUUGUGCCCACUGCCAUCAAACCAGACUGAUGUGUUAGUUUCACUGGCACAAGGUCACACAUCUCACUAACAGUAUGGUUUUGUUGCUCUCUUUUAAAAAAAAUGUUUGAAUAAAGAACAUUUUAAUUUCUUUUUCA
ensembl:lncRNA